UCAGUACUGGAUAUCUAUGCCCAGGACCAUGCUGCCAAUGACAGAAGAGCCUCAGUCAACCUAGGUCUUUAAAUGUCUUCAUGGAGCAGAUGUCCUACCUUCCCUGCUAUCACUCUGGUCACCCUCCAGACUUUAUGUAGGCUUUACUGUUUGACUUUGGGAAGGAGUUCUCCACUGCUUGAUAUCAUAGAAGUAGACUGGUCUGAAGGACAGAAGACAUGAGUUUGAAAACUAACCAAGAUCUCUGGAUGGCUCAAGGUCUAAGACAAGAUGUUGUCACAAGAUGUCAUCACAAGAAAUGAAAAUAGUAAAUCUGGAUAUAUGCAGUGAAAAUACGGGACUAAAAACAUGUUGGUGAUGUCAUUUAGCUAAGUCAGUGUCAACAAGUGAAGACAGGAACCCAGGACUUUGGAAAAUCUGUUUGUGUCUGAGGACGCUCUGCAAACCUUCCCUUCAAUACAUAUGGGGAU